GACGAACGCUGGCGGCGUGCUUAACACAUGCAAGUCGAACGGAAAGGCCCUGCGUUCGUGGUGUGCUCGAGUGGCGAACGCGUGAGGAACACGAGAGUAACCUACUCUUGACUUUGGGAUAACUUCAGGAAACUGGGGCUAAUACCGGACAGCAGCCCCCCUUCCAUGGUGGGGGUGGGAAAGUGUCGGCGGUUGGGGAUGGACUCGCGGCUUUCCGGUUUGUUGGUGGGGUAGUGGAUUACCAAGGCUUUGACGGGUAGCCAGACUGGGAGGGUGACAGGCUCCAGUGGGACAGGGAUGCGGCCCAGACUCCUUCGGGAGGCAGCGGUGGGAAAUAGUGCACAAUGGACCGAGGGCGGAUGGAAGACCGCCGGGUGCGGGAUGACGUCUUUUGGGUUGUAAACCGCUUUGGCCUGUGACGAAGCGUUGGUGACGGUAAUGAGUAAAAAAGCACCGGCUAACUACGU
rnacentral:rRNA from 1 species